rnacentral:rRNA from 1 species
AAAGGUAGCAUAAUCACUUGUCUCUUAAUUGGGGACUAGUAUGAAUGGCAUAACGAGGGCUCAACUGUCUCUUAUUCCCAAUCAGUGAAAUUGACCUUCCCGUGCAGAGGCGGGAAUUAUUAUACAAGACGAGAAGACCCUGUGGAGCUUAAGUCAAAUAACUCAAGACAUACUAACACACAACCUACCGGAACAACCUGUAUAACCCCCUGAGUUAUAGUCUUUGGUUGGGGUGACCUCGGAGCAUAAAACAACCUCCGAAUGAAAAUAACCAAGAUUAACUAAUCUAAGUGUAAUAACACCAGUAAUUGACCCAUCUUUUGAUCAACGGAACAAGUUACCCCAGGGAUAACAGCGCAAUCCUAUUUGAGAGCCCAUAUCGAAAAUAAGGGUUUACGACCUCGAUGUUGGAUCAGGACACCCAAAUGGUGCAACCGCUAUUAAAGGUUCGUUUGUUCAACGAUUAAAGUCCUACGUGAUCUGAGUUCAGACCGGAGAAAUCCAGGUCGGUUUCUAUCUGUAAAUUCAUUUCUCCCAGUACGAAAGGACAAGAGAAAUAGGGCCAACGUACCAAAUAAGCCCUAGAACCAACAUAUGAAUCAAUCUAAAUAUACUAAACCAAUUCAUAUACACUCUAGAACAGGGUUGUUAAGA